CCUACGGGUGGCAGCAGUGAGGAAUAUUGGUCAAUGGACGAGAGUCUGAACCAGCCAAGUAGCGUGAAGGAUGACUGCCCUAUGGGUUGUAAACUUCUUUUAUAUGGGAAUAAAAUGUUCCACGUGUGGGAUUUUGUAUGUACCAUAUGAAUAAGGAUCGGCUAACUCCGUGCCAGCAGCCGCGGUAAUACGGAGGAUCCGAGCGUUAUCCGGAUUUAUUGGGUUUAAAGGGAGCGUAGGUGGAUUGUUAAGUCAGUUGUGAAAGUUUGCGACUCAACCGUAAAAUUGCAGUUGAAACUGGCAGUCUUGAGUACAGUAGAGGUGGGCGGAAUUCGUGGCGUAGCGGUGAAAUGCUUAGAUAUCACGAAGAACUCCGAUUGCGAAGGCAGUUCACUGGACUGCAACUGACACUGAGGCUCGAAAGUGUGGGUAUCAAACAGGAUUAGAUACCCCUGUAGUC
rnacentral:rRNA from 1 species